rnacentral:rRNA from 1 species
GAUGAACGCUGGCGGCGUGCCUAAUACAUGCAAGUCGAGCGAACGGACGAGAAGCUUGCUUCUCUGAUGUUAGCGGCGGACGGGUGAGUAACACGUGGAUAACCUACCUAUAAGACUGGGAUAACUUCGGGAAACCGGAGCUAAUACCGGAUAAUAUUUUGAACCGCAUGGUUCAAAAGUGAAAGACGGUCUUGCUGUCACUUAUAGAUGGAUCCGCGCUGCAUUAGCUAGUUGGUAAGGUAACGGCUUACCAAGGCAACGAUGCAUAGCCGACCUGAGAGGGUGAUCGGCCACACUGGAACUGAGACACGGACCAGACUCCUACGGGAGGCAGCAGUAGGGAAUCUUCCGCAAUGGGCGAAAGCCUGACGGAGCAACGCCGAGUGAGUGAUAAAGGUCUUCGGAUCGUAAAACUCUGUUAUUAGGGAAGAACAGAUGUGUAAGUAACUGUGCACAUCUUGACGGUACCUAAUCAGAAAGCCACGGCUAACUACGUG